UAGGGAAUCUUCCACAAUGGACGAAAGUCUGAUGGAGCAACGCCGCGUGAGUGAAGAAGGUUUUCGGAUCGUAAAGCUCUGUUGUUGGUGAAGAAGGAUAGAGGCAGUAACUGGUCUUUAUUUGACGGUAAUCAACCAGAAAGUCACGGCUAACUAGGUGCCAA
rnacentral:rRNA from 1 species